rnacentral:rRNA from 1 species
AAGGAUCAUUACCGAGUUCAUGCCCUUCGGGGUAGAUCUCCCACCCUUUGUAUACUAUACCUUUGUUGCUUUGGCGGGCCGCCUAGCUACUGGCUUCGGCUGGUAAGUGCCCGCCAGAGAACCCAAAACCCUGAAUUAUUAGUGUCGUCUGAGUAAAAUAUUUAAUAUUUAAAACUUUCAACAACGGAUCUCUUGGCUCUGGCAUCGAUGAAGAACGCAGCGAAAUGCGAUAAGUAAUGUGAAUUGCAGAAUUCAGUGAAUCAUCGAAUCUUUGAACGCACAUUGCGCCCCUUGGUAUUCCGAGGGGCAUGCCUAUUCGAGCGUCAUUAUCACCCCUCAAGCCUAGCUUGGUGUUGAGACCUGCUGUCAAGGCAGUCUCUAAAAUCAGUGGCAGUGCUGUCAGGCUCUAAGCGUAGUAAAUUCAUCGCUAUAGACACCUGGUGGCCACUCGCCAGAACCCCCCCCAUUUUUUAAUGAUUGACCUCGGAUUAGGUAGGGAUACCCGCUGAACUUAAGCAUAUCAAUAAGCGGAGGAAAAGAAACCAACAGGGAUUGCCUCAGUAACGGCGAGUGAAGCGGCAAAAGCUCAAAUUUGAAAUCUGGCUCUUUUAGGGUCCGAGUUGUAAUUUGUAGAAGAUGUUUCGGGUGUGGCUCCGGUUUAAGUUCUUUGGAAUAUUACAUCAUAGAGGGUGAGAAUCCCGUAUGUGACCGGCAGCCUUCGCCUAUGUGAAACUCUUUCGACGAGUCGAGUUGUUUGGGAAUGCAGCUCAAAAUGGGAGGUAUAUUUCUUCUAAAGCUAAAUAUUGGCCAGAGACCGAUAGCGCACAAGUAGAGUGAUCGAAAGAUGAAAAGCACUUUGGAAAGAGAGUUAAACAGUACGUGAAAUUGUUGAAAGGGAAGCGCUUGCAACCAGACUUGCACGCAGUUGAUCAUCCGGUGUUCUCACCGGGGCACUCUGCUGCGUUCAGGCCAGCAUCGGUUUUGGUGGUUGGAUAAAGGCCUUGGGAAUGUGGCUUCCUUCGGGGAGUGUUAUAGCCCUCGGUGCAAUGCAGCCUACCGGGACCGAGGACCGCGCUUCGGCUAGGAUGCUGGCGUAAUGGUUGUAAGCGACC